AGUAAGGAAUAUUGGGCAAUGGACGCAAGUCUGACCCAGCCAUGCCGCGUGGAGGAUGAAGGUCCUCUGGAUUGUAAACUUCUUUUAUCUGGGAAGAAAAAAGGGAAUUCUUUCCCGUCUGACGGUACCAGAUGAAUAAGCACCGGCUAACUCCGUGCCAGCAGCCGCGGUAAUACGGAGGGUGCAAGCGUUAUCCGGAUUUACUGGGUUUAAAGGGUGCGUAGGUGGACUGAUAAGUCCGUGGUGAAAUCCCCGAGCUUAACUCGGGAACUGCCGUGGAUACUAUUAGUCUUGAAUUUUCUGGAGGUUAGCGGAAUAUGUCAUGUAGCGGUGAAAUGCUUAGAUAUGACAUAGAACACCAAUUGCGAAGGCAGCUGGCUACAGAAACAUUGACACUGAGGCACGAAAGCGUGGGGAGCAAA
rnacentral:rRNA from 1 species